rnacentral:rRNA from 1 species
AUUAAACGCUGGCGGCAUGCCUUACACAUGCAAGUCGAACGGCAGCACGGGGCAACCUGGUGGCGAGUGGCGAACGGGUGAGUAAAGCAUCGGAACGUGCCCUGGAGUGGGGGAUAACGUAGCGAAAGUUACGCUAAUACCGCAUAUUCUGUGAGCAGGAAAGCAGGGGAUCGCAAGACCUUGCGCUCUGGGAGCGGCCGAUGUCGGAUUAGCUAGUUGGUGGGGUAAAGGCCUACCAAGGCGACGAUCCGUAGCGGGUCUGAGAGGAUGAUCCGCCACACUGGGACUGAGACACGGCCCAGACUCCUACGGGAGGCAGCAGUGGGGAAUAUUGGGCAAUGGGCGGAAGCCUGACCCAGCCAUGCCGCGUGAAGGAAGACGGCCUUAUGGGUUGUAAACUUCUUUACUAUGCGAUUAACUAGAUUUACGAGAUAAUUCUAUAGAAUGUAGCAUAGCAAAAAAGCACCGGCUAACUCCGUG